rnacentral:snoRNA from 1 species
AGUCCACCUCAAUGCCAGGCAAGUAUUAUUUUCCACUGCACUGCGCAUCUCAAUUGGACUGAUAUUAAAUAUGAGGUUUUAAUAUCCUAGUGCUUGAAGAUUAGACUCUCUUCCCGCUCUCUUGGAACUUAAAAUCACAUUU